UACGGGGGGAGCAAGCGUUGUCCGGAAUCACUGGGCGUAAAGGGCGCGUAGGCGGCUCGGUAAGUAGGGGGUGAAAUCCUGCGGCUUAACCGCAGGGCUGCCUUCUAAACUGUCGAGCUUGAGCACGGUAGAGGCAGAUGGAAUUCCCGGUGUAGCGGUGGAAUGCGUAGAGAUCGGGAAGAACAUCAGUGGCGAAGGCGGUCUGCUGGGCCGUUGCUGACGCUGAGGCGCGACAGCGUGGGGAGCAAACAGG
rnacentral:rRNA from 1 species